AGCUUGCUCUAGGGUCUGUGUAUGGCUGCUGCUGGGUGAGCACCUCACAGGGCUGGGAGGGACAGCUGGGCCCUCAGCCCCACGCCCUCCGUCCGCCAAUCCCUGACCCCAAUAGAGGAAGAACUCCUCAGUAACAGCCUUCACAGCAGAGGACAUGUCACCACACACAGCACCUGCCGCCAAAUAGCCACAGAGACGGGUGUGACCAGGUUUUGAGGACUGGCACCCAUGCACAGGCUGCCUAUGCCAUGGAAAGCCGCCAGCCGGUGCUGGACAUCAGUGGCCUGCGGUGGACUUAAUUCUCGGCCAAAGAAGGGAGCAGGGGCUCCUCUUGCCUAGACUUGCACUGAACUCAGCCAGGAAACAGCACCAGCAAGAGAAGUCCAAUCUGUGGCCGGGGGGAAGCAGAAAGGCAGACCUACGCGCCUGACACCGGGCAGGUGCCUGAGCCCCUCAGCCAGACCUCGCCUGCGCUCACCCCUCAGUGGGGACGCAGCAUCUGGACUAUCUGCCAGUCGUGCUGUGAACUAAAUGAGACUGAAGAGACUAAAGGACACUGUCAUGGGGACGUGGGCUGCAAGUGACCAGCUCAGAGCAUUAGGAAACGUCAGGUCCCCGCUGAGGUCCAGUGGAGUGCGGGACCCGCCAUCAGGACCCUUGUCCUGUGAGUGGGCCACAGGGGCGCUUCCCAGCCAUCUUUCAGGGGGUGCUGUGGGUUUCCUUCAGGUCAUCGCUCGAGGAUCUUCACCUAGCGAACAGCCCAGGUGGAGAGCGACCCUCCCGUGCAGAGGGCAAAGCUGCUGUUUGCUACUGUGAGGAGGACGCUCCUUCCUCUGGGGUGGACAGGCCAGUCUGCUUGCAGCCCUUUGGAAGUUCUGAGGUCCCUAAACUCAGUAUUGCUCACUGUGAUGAGGACCACCUGUGUGCCUGCUGUCCUCGGGCCCUGCCCAUAGGACUUGAGGGAGGGAAAUCAAAGCAGCCGUAAAUUCAAGUUUCUGGCUGUGCCCUGUGUAAUAGACCUAGGUCUGUCUGCUCCAGGCAUCUCGUGUCUUCUGCUAGUGUCUUUGAAAGCAUGGCAGGCCAACUUGCUAGCCUCAGACCCUCCACAGUUCUUGACACAGGCUGAUAAGACCGGAGCAUCACCCGGAGACACAAGCGGUGCUUUCCUGUCAACCUCCCCGAUGAGCCAGAGAAAGGUUUCCUGCAAGUCUUCCCCUGGGUCUUCAGAGACCAGGCCUGGGGGCCUCCGGGCGCGAAGCCCCUCACCUACCUCGCCCGCGGGCCGCAGCAGGCUCUCCUCCCCACGUGGGGUUGCCAAGCCACACCCUGCUGCUCCCCCUCCCGGACGCUCCAGGGGCUUCCUCACUGUCUGGAAAGAAAAUCCAGUCCCCACAGCAUGUGCACAGUGAGCCUGCUCAUGCUGGACAGGUGGGCAGCCUGCUGGCCAGCAGCUGAGGACUGUUCUGCAGGUGGGCACACCCAUACCCAUGCACACUCUGUGUCACACUCAUGUGCACGCAGCCGCACACGUGCGUAAACACAAGACACUUCCUG
rnacentral:lncRNA from 1 species